rnacentral:rRNA from 1 species
ACUUCAACUUUAUUUGCGUAGGAUAGGUGGGAGGCUAUGAAGAUCAUCUUCUGGGAUGAUUGGAGCCGUCCUUGAAAUACCACCCUGAUAAUGUGAGAAUUCUAACUUUUCGCUGUGAAUCCAGCUGAAGGACAGUUUCAGGUGGUCAGUUUGACUGGGGCGGUCGCCUCCCAAAAGGUAACGGAGGCGUACAAAGGUUUCCUCAAAUCGGUCAGAAAUCGAUUGUAGAGUGCAAAGGCAAAAGGAAGCUUGACUGUGAGACCUACAAGUCGAACAGGGACGAAAGUCGGUCUUAGUGAUCUGACGGUACCGAGUGGAAGGGCCGUCACUCAACGGAUAAAAGUUACUCUAGGGAUAACA